rnacentral:rRNA from 1 species
UAGCCGGCCUGAGAGGGCGACCGGCCACACUGGGACUGAGACACGGCCCAGACUCCUACGGGAGGCAGCAGUGGGGAAUAUUGGGCAAUGGAGGAAACUCUGACCCAGCGACGCCGCGUGCGGGAUGAAGGCCUUCGGGUUGUAAACCGCUUUCAGCAGGGAAGAAGCGAAAGUGACGGUACCUGCAGAAGAAGCACCGGCUAACUAUGUGCCAGCAGCCGCGGUAAUACAUAGGGUGCAAGCGUUGUCCGGAAUUAUUGGGCGUAAAGAGCUCGUAGGUGGUUCGUCACGUCGGAUGUGAAAAUCUGGGGCUCAACCCCAGACCUGCAUUCGAUACGGGCGAGCUAGAGUUUGGUAGGGGAGACUGGAAUUCCU